UCCCUAGAGGACCAGUGCUUAGGGCACAGUGCUCUCACCACUGCAGCCCGGGUUCGAUUUCCGGCAAGGGAG